AGGAUGAUCUCAGAGCUGAGCAGCUUGAUAGAUCAGCCAGUUGUGGACUUCCAGAACGUGGGUUCUUUCGUUCAUCAGCUGAAAGGGAGCAGCUCAAGUGGAGGAGUUAAGAUGCGGAGAAGAUUGAAGAGGAGAAGCUCACUCAAGAGUCGACUCCUAUCUUAGGUUAAGAUAAAGAACUGCGUGAAUGGAACUGAGGGCAACAGUGUCGUUGGAUUAAGUGCUAGGUUUGGUUCAUCCUUGCCUAGCCAUGCUUCUAAAGCUUUAAAAACAUCUGCUGUUCUUGCAAAUCCUUUCAACUGCUGUACUAAAUUAUCCAUGAAGGUCUACCUUACUUUUCUUUGAAAAUAUAUGCUUAUUUUCAAAUGCAAACUACAAUAUCUCCCCUAUCUUCUCUACUCUGAUGUUGCUUAUCUAUUUGUAAAUUCAGUUUCAUGAGGCGUUUUUGUGAGGAAUUAUUAGAUUU